rnacentral:rRNA from 1 species
CCUACGGGUGGCUGCAGUGGGGAAUAUUGGACAAUGGGCGAAAGCCUGAUCCAGCCAUGCCGCGUGUGUGAAGAAGGCCUUCGGGUUGUAAAGCACUUUCAGUGGGGAAGAAAGCCUUGGGGCUAAUACCCUCGAGGAAGGACAUCACCCACAGAAGAAGCACCGGCUAACUCCGUGCCAGCAGCCGCGGUAAUACGGAGGGUGCGAGCGUGAAUCGGAAUUACUGGGCGUAAAGCGCGCGUAGGCGGUCUGAUAAGCCGGUUGUGAAAGCCCCGGGCUCAACCUGGGAACGGCAUCCGGAACUGUCAGGCUAGAGUGCAGGAGAGGAAGGUAGAAUUCCCGGUGUAGCGGUGAAAUGCGUAGAGAUCGGGAGGAAUACCAGUGGCGAAGGCGGCCUUCUGGACUGACACUGACGCUGAGGUGCGAAAGCGUGGGUAGCAAACAGGAUUAGAUACCCGGGUAGUC